rnacentral:tRNA from 1 species
GAGGGUUUGGCUGAGUAGCUUAAAGCGCCAGAUUUAGGCUUUGGUCCAAAAGGGCGUGGGAUAAAAUCCCACAGCAGUCA